UAUGUUUACUGAUAAAAUUGCGCAAAAAUAAAAGGGAAACCUGCGAAAACUAGUUACUUCCGUUUAACUAAAUUUGUGUUAAAAAAAACCCAAAUGAACUACAACUGAUAGAAAAACCAUACAACGUAUUGAGCUCUUUAGGAGACUAAAUAUCUCGGCGACUAAAUUUUAACAGAAGAUCAACCAUCGAACCAGAUUUUAGCUGAAAACUUGAAGACAGAAAAGAGAAAAACUCUCUUGCCAUCAAGCUGGCCAGCAAUGGGUUUGAAGAUUUACAACGUUAAAGCCCGGGGCUCGAUUCAUCGUGAAGGGCAGGAAACAGAUAAUCUACUGUAUAGCUUUGCGAUAUAAUAACCUAAAACCAUAUUUAUUCAGAUACAUGUAUGUAUAAGCAGUGAUAAAACAUUGAUAAUAAUAAACAGUUUAACUGGAA